rnacentral:tRNA from 1 species
ACCUCAAUAGUGAAAUCAGUUAACAUAACAGAUCGGACAUCUGUAGAUGAGGGUUCGAGUUCCGCUUGAGGCC